rnacentral:lncRNA from 1 species
CUGCUUCCCUUUUCUUUCGCAAACGACGCCAUUUUAUUUCUCCCCCCAUUCCCUUUUCUUUUGCAAACGGUACCGUUUUAUUUCUCUCCCCCCGAAUCCCUUUUCUUUCCCGAUACCCUUUUCUUUCUCAGCCUAUUCUUUGCUUGACUAAAAUUAAAAACCUGUUCUUCUAUUUUAUACCCGAAAAUCCUCUCUACCUGUUGUUCUAUUUUAUUUCUCAGUCUGUUCUUUGAUUUCUCGAAACCUAAACACCCACUGUGCCCCCUUUCCUCAGAGGCUGUAACCGAGCAACUGUUUACCUAGUUUCCCGACGCCUAGCCACUUUACCCAGCAGCGAACUUAGUCUUAGCAAGUAUGUGAGGUUUUUGAUGUUUUUUUGUUUGGGUUUGGUAAAAUUUACUUUAGUUUUCAAUCGUGUUAAAAUUUUAGAAAUUUUAAUUUGGGUAGUUCAAAUGUGCUUUAUUCAUUAACUGACCUAGAAUUCGGAUUUUGGAUUUAGAUUAAUAAAUUACAUGCCAUUAAGAUCGAUGGGUUACGUGAAGAAAUCCAUUCAGAGGGAUUUGGACAAUUGCAAUGCUAAGUUUUAAAUGAUUGAUAGAUUUUUGUUUCUUUUCUUUUAAGGAUGAUAAAUUUUUUUUAAAAUUUUUGUAGUUGUCAGGAUUUUUUGUAAGACUUUAUUAUCAAAAUGUAAGACCUCAAAGCGAGGAAAGCUCUCUCCGACUAUUUUUUUUGUUCACAAAAUUUGAACUCAGAGACUUUACUAAUCAGUAGGGACUUAACCUUGUUAGAGAAAAGUUAAAUUCAUGAGACCUUCGGGUUAAAGAUUACCUAAAUUCUCAGCUUGAGUUAGUGGCAACUUUAUAGUGAAUGAGAGCAGAUCUGUGGUGUUUCAAAUCUGGGGUACACUUUACACCAUUUAGAACUAUCUCAAAUUUGGAGUCAUUGCCAUUGGGUUGAAUUUGAUGAAACAUCUAUAGGCAAUAAUACAAUUAAUCACAGUGGCAUUCCAGGGUAUGAUUGUUUUUUUUAUUGAAGCAUAUAAAAGAACAUAUAUGUUGCAUUUUCUGCUUACAUAGUUCUUCCUUCCAGCUCUGAAUUGUAUGGACUUGAGCCUGCCCUGAUGGCCUUGCUUGGACUGCCCACAAUGGGACAAAAGAAGUAUUUGAUAGCAUGAAUAGUAUUUGUUAGCAAUAAAAUAAACUAAUGUAAUUAUUAGAAUAGUAAUUAUAUUUUUUAUACUUGUUUUUGUUAUUCUUUAAAAAAAAUUAGUAAUUUAUUAAUCCUUUGCUAAACAAAUUUUUUCUUUAAUGCAGUUGCGAAGAUGGUUGCACACAAAUUCACUGUUGAUUUGAAUAAACCUCUUGUCUUCCAGGUACGAGUAAGAUCAUAUGUUUGAAUUUGGUUUAUCUUAUGGAACAAGCAUAUGUGGUGACAGUUUUGGUGUUACUGGUUUUCAGUUCACUUAUUUAGUUUCUUAUGUGAUUAAAAUAGCUACAUAUAGUCAUGUUAUGUGAUUACAUUGGCAAGUUCUUGAUAUAGAGCACGAUUUUGCAGGGCAGUUACUAAGCUCCAAAUAUUCUAUUUCUUUCUCUUUUUUGGUCAGACUGAAUUAAGCAGGCCAAAGUGUGUAAAGGUAAUAGCAGUGAAUUUCACCCUUAUUUUUAUAACUGCUGCUUUCUCUUCACUUGUACUUAUUAUUUAUUUUCUCCUUUGAUGAAAUGUUGCCAGCCUCUUGAGUAGUUGUGUUAGAUUGUUGUUUAGGAAAUUUGUUAGCAUUUGAGGAAGCUUCACGAAUUUUUGUUUCCUAUUUGCAAGCUGGUUUAGGUAAAUAUUUGCUAGCACUUGGUGUGUGUAUCUACUGUACUGGGUUUAUGAAUGUUAAUUUGUUUUCUUGCAGGGUUUUGGUUUGGGGAAACAUUUAAGUUUGGGUUUGGAGAUACGUAGUUAUCAGCAUUAGUUGGCAGAUAACAUUGGCAGAUAACAUUGUCCAAGUGCAGGUUGCAGCUCUUUGCCAAGGUGCGCUAUCCUUUUUAAUAUCUGGUACAGACUAGAAUUAAUGGUUGUUUUUAUUCCUGUUUUCUUUAGUCUUUGACCACUAUCACAUAAAGAGCUUGAUAUUGAAAAACAGAAGCAUAAUGCUUGGUAUAUAUUUUCCAGAUAUUGUAGAAUUAACACGAAAACACAAAUCGCAUAUUUUUAUAAAACAAAAAAUAAAGGGGUCACAAUCCUUCUUAUCCACUCUCCAACAUUCGCUUUUUGCAGUAGUAAAUAUAUUAAAAAAAUUAUGUCCAAAAUGUAAAUAAAAUAAUGAUAGAAGCAAGCAAUCUCAUCUGCAGAAGGUGAUGAUUUUGUUUUGCUUUUAUUCGGUAGAAACAAUGGUUACAUUUGAUUUUAGUGGAAUUUUUGUUUAUUCCUUUUGGGUUAGGAUAAAAUCAAAGUGGUGAGGAGCACCGACAUUCCCUUUUUUACACGUAUUCAUUUUCCUUAAGCUGCCAAAAUAACAAACUAAGGACUUCCAAUUCUGUGAAUUUUCUGAAUAACUUUUUUAUUAUUGUUGGGUGGGAAGAAUGCUCUAAGUGUAUGACUACUCAAUUUAUUUAAAUUAAACCAAUUUUACUAUUCCUCUUCCCUUGUCUCCAUCUAUAUAAAAUUCUGUCUUUUAUUUUAUUUUCCGGGAAAAACUAAAAUGAGAAAAAAACUCUAUUGUGGGUUUUUCCAAUAGACCAAUAAAAUAAAUAGAGUGAAAAUUAUAUUAAAAUAAAAGUGAAAUGAUUUAUGCAUGCAAAUAAAAUAUCUUGAUAUUUGUGAAAAAUGUUCCCCCAAGUCAUGAUCAAAAUGCUGAAAAUUGCAGUCCAAAAAUAUAUUUGUUGAACCCCACUAAAAUCCUUCUGCUGCACUGAUCAUAUGUGGUGGUUGUGGGACACUGGAAUUCAGCCAGUGUUUCAACUCUCACUGAUGCAGCCAUCUUUGAAUAUAUAAAAUUAUUCAUAAAUAGAUUCCAUGAUUUUGAUCUAAUUGAAUAAAUAAAAAUUAAUGUUUUAACUUUUAUCACAUUUAAUAUAAAAACACAAACAUAAAUGAUCAUAUCUAAGGAUAAUACCCCCUUUCCUAGAGAUUUCACUUUGUUUUAUUUAUUUAUUUAAAGAAAUUGGAAUCCAAUGAAGCGUGUUUAUUGCCAAUGAUGUUUUAACACUUCAUUAUCUUUUUACUUUUAAAUUGAUGGUAUUAAUUGAGGUGAUGGGAAAAUCGUUCAUACAUACCAACUAUGGUGGGGGCAGCUUAUGCUUACAAUUUUGUUGCCAGUUUAUUGGCUGACACUGUAAGCUUCCUUUUGUUGGCUGAUUUUUGACACACCCAUUUAUUCUACCAACCUAACUUCCAUCUUCAAUCUUCAACCAUGAUGCUUUUCCCUUUUACUAUUUUUUCACUACUCAAAUAUGAUAUUAUAUAUGCAUAGAUUUUCAGAUAACCAGAAUUGAAAUUUAAACAUUUAUGUUUAAUUUUGAUUUUAUUUUUUAUUUUUAUAAUUUUAAAUUAUUUGUUAAUGUAACAUAUAAUACUAUGUUAAAUUAUAUAUAUUUUUUAUUUUUAUAAUUUUCAAUUUAGCUAAAAUAAUGAGUAAAUAGACAAAAAAAUAUAAAUAUUAAGAUCUAAAUUUACUGUUAUAUAUUAUUAUUUCUUCGCGUUGAGGAGCAAAAGUUACUCAUUUGAGAUAAAUUAAUUACUAAGUAAAAUGACUUAAAUUAAUAUCAUAUUUUGAAUUUAGAAUGAAUUUAAUUUUUCUUCUAAUAAAGUUACUCAUUUCAAGGAUAUUAAAAUUUUAAAGUAAUUGUUUUCUUAAAAAUAUUUUAUAUUAAUUAUUAUCUCAUGAUAAUAGCUAAAUAAAAAAUUACAAAUUAGAAGAGAAGAUGAUAACUUGAGUUCUAGUUUUUAGAUUUUAAUUGUGUUAUUAAUUUAUUAUUUUAAAUUCUAAAUUUAAAUUCAUUAAUUUUUAUAUUUAGUUUUAAAGUUAAAAUAUUCAUAGAAAAUUUAAUUUAAAUAAUAUUUUUUAUUUAUCGUUAAAAGUAUAUAAUUUAAAGUUCUAAUUUCAAAAAUAAAACAUAAUAUAAUAUUUAUCAUAGAAAUAAAUAUUAUUUAAUUAAAAUAAAAUUUUUAAAGGAAAAUAAUAUUUAUCUUAAUGUUAAAAUUAUUUUAAUAUUUUUCAUAAAUAUUAUCAUAAAAAUAAAUUGAUCGAUGUUAAUGUGUAGUAUAAAGUUAAAAAGUUCAUGGAAAUUUAAUUUAAAAAUGAACUCAAAAUAGAUGAAAAAUUAAUAAUUAUUAACUUUAUUAACAUAUAAUUAUUAAUUUGUUAAUUUUUGUCUUUUAAGUAUAGUAAACAUAAAGGUGAUGAAAACACAAAUUUAAAAAUUAAAGGAGUAUAAUUAAAGGGUUAAAAUUUAAACUUAAAAUUUAAAGAUGAUAAUCAUAACUUACAUAAACAUUUAAAGUUUAUGAUUAUCAUAACUUACAUAAUCAUUUAAAGAAUAAAAAAAAACUUUGGACCAUAAUUUACAGAACUUACAUAAAUAUAUAUCACAUCAUAACUUGCAUAACUUAUAUAAAUAUAUAUCAUAUCAUAACUUACAUAAAACUUUGAAUUAAAAUAUAUAAAAAUCACAGAAAUUUGAGUAUGUAUUACAUAAAACUUAUAAAUAAACAACUUACCUGAAUUAGUUUACACCCAUUAAAUACUUGAUACUUGAUAUGUAUUAUCUAUUUUAGUAUAAUGACAUGAUUUAAAUCAAUUUAGAACACUUAAGUAACCGUAAUUUAUUGUCAACUUUAGACUUCAAGAGCUACGAAAUGGAUAAGAGUUGGAUGAAUUUGUCAAGGGUAAGCAAUGACUAUCGAAAUGGAGUACAAACUUUUCUAAAUUUUACAUUUCAAAAUGCAAACUAAGAGAAUAUGAUUCUUUGCCCGUGUAAGAAGUAUGGCAACAUCAAUUGGCAUAUUCGUGAAGUUGUCUACAAACAUCUAAUUGUUAAUGGCUUUAUUCGGAAGUAUAAAAAAUAGAUUUUUCAUGGAGAGUGUACACCUCGUAGAACUUCUUCAACGAUUAAUUCGGCUUAUCCUCAUAAUGCCUACCAUUAGUCUGUUAGAGAAGAUGACAUGGAAGGUAUGUUGCGGGAUACAUUUAAUAUGCGCAGUCAUGGUUUGCAAUCGUUUCCACUUGAAAUUAUUGCAUCCGAUGAUUGUGAUAUUGGUGGAAAUGUUUUUACCGAAUGGGGAAGAAGUGUACUUAAUGAAGAGCCAAAUGGAGAAGUGGCGAAGAUUUACAAGUUACUUAAUGAAAUUAAUGAAGAACUUUAUGAGGGAUCAAAAAAUUUAAAAUUGUCCUUCUGCAUUUAUCUUUUUCACUUAAAAUGUCUGGGAGGGUGGACCAGAAACUCUGACAUUACUGUUAGAGUUUUUGAGAGAUAUGUUUUUGUUUGCAAAAAUUUCUCAUUCAUGCAAAUAUAUGAAGAAACUGAUAAAAGAUUUAGGCCUUGGGUACGACAAAAUUCAUAGUUGCCCAAAUAAUUGCAUGUUGUAUUGAAGUGGUCGGAAAAAGUAACAGUCUUGUCAUGUUUGCGGUAAAUCUCAUUGGAUGAAUAGUAAUACAAAAGAUGUGAGUGAGGAUGAAGGUGAGACACAGUUAAGAAAGAAGCCAAUAAAGAUUUUGCGAUGUUUUCCACUAAUACCAAUGCUUCAAAGGUUUUUCAUGUCGUUAAAGACAGUCGAGUCUAUGAGGUGGCAUCAUGAUCAACGAACCAAUGAUGGAUUAUUAAGGCAUCCUGCAGAUUCUUUAGCUUGAAAAUCAUUUGAUAGUAAAUUUUCAAGCUUUGCAAGCGAUCCUCGGAAUGUGAGGAUUGAACUAGCAUCUAAUGGAUUUAAUCAUUUUAAAAUCAUGAGUACUCUGUAUAGUACUUGGCCUGUAGUGCUUGUUCCUUACAAUAUGCCUCUGUGGAUUUGCAUGAAGCAAUCUUUUUUUAUCUUAUUUAUGAUUAUCCCUGGAGAGAAAGGUCCCGGGAAUGAUAUCGACAUUUAUAUGCAGCCACUUAUUGAAGAGUUGAAAUAGUUAUUGGCGGGUGUUGAAACAUAUGAUGUCUUGAGAAAACUUUUGUUUACGAGCAACUUUGUUGUGGACUAGUAAUGAUUUUCGGCUUAUCCUAAUUUAUCUUGUUGGAGUACUAAAGGACGUUAUGCUUGUCAUUGUGCGGCGCAAACAUGUUCGAAGUGGUUACAUAAUAGGAAGUUUUCUUAUAUGGGGCAUUGUCGGUGGUUAGUGGUUAUAUAAUGGGAAGUUCUUUUAUAUGGGGCAUCGUCGGUGGUUAGAUGAAAAUCAUAGAUUUAGAUUUCAGAGGACUCUAUUUGAUGGUGCUGAAGAGUUGAGAGAAGCUUUUGAGUAGAUCAUUGGUUCUGAAAUCUUAUUCAUAUUAAAAGAUAUCAAUUUUAGUUAUGGGAAGAUGAAUCAACCACCUAACACGCAAACAAAGAGAAGAUUGAGGGAGGUGUACGUUGGCGAUGUUGACUGGUAGAUUGAUGAUGAAUUUGAUGAAAAGGAUGAUUCUAAUGAGGCGGACUUGUGGAAAAAAAAGAAAUAUUUUUUUUAAGUUGCAUUAUUGGGAGUAUCACAUUUUACGACAUAAUCUUGAUGUCAUGCAUAUGGAAAAAAAUGUUUGCGAGAACAUCAUCGGGACAAUUUUGAAUGUUGAUAAAAAAUCGAAAGAUAAUCUUCAAAGUCAACUUGAUCUAGUUGACUUGGGAAUUCGAUGUGAUCUUCACCUCCAAUUACUUCUGAAUAGAAAAUCUCGAUUGUUGCCUUCUAUUUUUCAAUGUUGAAGAAAGAAAAAAAGUAUUCUACACGGUGUUGAAGGAUAUAAAAGUUCCAGAUGCGUAUGCAUCAAAUAUAUCUCGAUGUACGAGUCUUAAAAAUCGAAGACUAUAUUCCUUAAAAUCAUAUGAUUAUCACAUCUUGAUGCAAGAGUUACUGCAAGUUGCUUUACGGUGUUGUAUGUCAAAAAAGGCGACGUCUUGUAUAAUUGAACUAUCCAAUAUAAUGAAAGCUAUUUAUGGUAAAGUUUUGAUUAUUGAAGAACUUGGGAAAGUAUAAGAUCGAGCCGUCUUGACUUUAUGCAAUUUGGAGAAGAUCUUUCUACCUUCGUUCUUUAUUAUUAUAGUACACUUGCUAAUCCAUCUCCCUCAUGAAGCAAAACUUGGUGGAUUGAUUUUCUAUCGGUGAAUGUAUCCUAUAGAUGUGCUAAUUUAUUUGAAAAGUUUUUAUUCAUUCAUGAAUAUACCUUUAGUUACAAUUUUUGAUAAUGUUGUAUAUCAUGUUUAGGUUUCUAUGUAAAUUGAAGUCUUAUUGUCAUAAUAAGCGUUAUCCAGAAGGAUCAAUUGCUGAAAGUUACUUGGCAAAAGAGUAUGACUUUUUGAUCUAGAUAUUUAGAAGAUGUUAAAACAAGAAUGAAUAGACCAAGUAGAAAUGCUGGACUCACUAAUCAUCACUUACCUGAAAUUUAUUUAUUUCGAAGUUAUGGAGAACCAAUCGGUAAAUUGCACAUUUAGAUGAUAGAUCUUGGUACAAGCACAUUAAUAUGUUCUUUUUCACCAUGAUUCAAUUGAAACAUUACGCAAGUAAGUUUUAAAAUUUGAUAAAUAUUUAUCUUUUUAAUUUAUUUAUCUUCUAACCAAGUAAUCCACUUUUUAACGUAGUAAGUGCAAACAAGUCUUGAGAUCUCGUUCACGCUCUCGAAGAUUACAACAUUGAGAGAUUUAUAAGUUAUUUAUAGAAUCUUUUCAUGAAUGGUUAGGGCAAAUCGUAUGCAACUGAAGCUUUCAUUGACAAAUAAUAAUGUUUUCGUAUAACAUUUAUAAUUAAUCAAUUUACUUUCGAUUUAAUAGGUUUGGAGUAGAAAGGACGUCAAUGACGAAGUUAAAUGGCUUUUCCAAGGUCCGAAUAGAGUAGUAAAAAGAUAUACUGCCUUCUUCAUUAAUGGAUUCAAGUUUCAUACAAAAUCUCGUAAAAGAUUGAGGAGGAUUCAAAAUUGUGGAAUAGUUAAUUCUUCAAUUACAAGUUAUGCUAGUGCUAGGGACAGUAAUCCUGUUGAGGGAAAUGUGGAGUAUUACGAGCCUCUUACUGACAUUAUUGAGUUGGGUUACUAUGGCAAACAGAAAGUUGUCUUAUUUCGAUAUGAUUGGGCUGAUGUUAAUACUGCUCGUAGAAUUAAAAAAAAAGAUCAAUUUGGUUUUACAAUGGUGAAUUUCUCUUGAUUAAUUCACACUGGACAACAAUUGAUAGAUGAGUUGUAUGUAUUUUCAUUUCAAGUCAAAUAAGUUUUUUACUUGAAAGAUCCAAUUGAUGAGGGUUGGUACGUUAUACUCCGUAACACCCCUAAAGACUUGUUUAACAUGGGCAAUGGAAGUAGAGAUGACAUCGACGAAAUAUCAGAAAUUGUCUUUUCCAGAAAAAACUUAAAUGAAAUUAUCCCUAGUACUAGUACACAAUUUCAAUGGGUUCACUAGGAUGUGGAUGAAGAUAUUUAUGAAUUAUGAUGUAAUAAUAUUUUACGAUUUUUUAAUUAUAUGUAAUAUUAUAAUUUAAAUCUUAAUCUUGUUAAAUAUUUCAACUAUUUUAUAUAUACUAUUAUUUUUGUAAUUAGUUACUAAAAUUAUUGUUGUACUAUUAUAUGCAGCCCAUUCUUCUUGGUCUAUUCAAUCUUAUUUUAACAUAUUCUAAAUAUCUAAAAUAGAAAUUCAUAUACUCCUCUGCCAAGUAACAUUUAGCAAUUGAUCUUUCUAGAUAGCGUUUAUUAUGACAAGAAGACUUCAAUUUGCAUAGGAACUUAAACACGAUAUACAACAUUAUCAAAAGUUGUAACUAAAGGUAUAAAGUUGAAUGAAUGAAUACUUUACAAAUAAAUUAGCACCUUUCUAUAGGAUACAUCCAUCGAUAGAAAAUCAGUCCACCAAGUAUUGCUUCAUUAGGGAGAUGGAUUAGCUAGUGUUCCAUAAUAGUGAAGAAGGAAGGUGGAAAGAUAUUCUCCAAAUUGCAUAAAGUCAAAGCGGCUCGGUCUUAUACUUUUUCAAGUUCUUCAACAUUUAAAAUUUUUCCACAAAUAGCUUUCAUUAUAUUGGAUAGUUCAAUUAUACAAGACGUCACCUUUUUUGACAUAUAACAUCGUAAAGCAACUGACAGUAAAUCUUGCAUCAAGAUGUGAUAAUCAUGUGAUUUUAAAGAAUAGUCUUCGAUUUUUAAAACUCACACAUUGAGAUAUAUUUGAUGCAUACGCAUCUGGGACCUUUAUAUCCUUUAACACCGUGUAGAAUACUUCUUUUUCUUUCUUCGACAUUGCAAAAAUAUGUGACAACUGAUAUUUCUCAUUCGAAAGUACUUGGGGAUGAAGAUCAUGCCGAAUUCCCAUGUUAACUAAAUAAGUCGCCUCUGAAAAUUGUUUUUUGAUUUUCCAUCGACAUUCAAAAUUGUCCCAAUGAUGUUCUCGCAAACAUUCUUCUCAAUAUGCAUGACAUCAAGAUUGUGUCGUAAAAUGUGAUGCUUCCAAUAAGGUAACUCAAAAAAAUACUUCUUUUCUUCUAGAAGUUUACUUCAUUAGGAUCAUCCUCUUCAUUAGAUUCAUCCUUCGAUCUUCUCUUUGUUUGCGUGUUGGGUGGUUGAUUCAUCUUUCUAUAACUGAAAUUGAUACCUUUCAAUAUGAACAAGAUUUCAAAUCCAAUGGCCUGCUUAAGAGCUUCUCAUAACUCUUCAGUACCGUCAAAUAGAGUCCUCUGAAAUCUAAAUCUAUGAUUUUUAUUUAAUCACCGACGAUGCCCCAUAUAAGAGAACUUCUUUCCACUAUAUAACCAUUUCGAACAUGUUUGCGCAACAUAAUAAGGACAAGCAUAACGUCCUUUGGUACUCCAACCAGAUAAAUUGACAUAAGCCGGGAAAUCAUUAAUGAUCCACAAAAAAGCUGCACAUAAAUAAAGUUAUUCUUUCUCAAUGCAUCAUAUGUCUCAACACCCGCCCAUAAUUGUUUUAACUCUUCAAUAAGUGACUGUCAAUAAAUGUCAAUAUCAUUUUCGGGAUCUUUCUUUCUAGAGAUAAUCAUAAAUAAGAUAAAAGAAGAUUGCUUCAUACAAAUCUAUGGAGGUAAAUUGUAAGAAACAAGCACUAUAGGUUAAGUACUGUACGAAGUGCUCAUGAUUUUAUAAGGAUUAAAUCCAUCAGAUGCUAGCCCAAGCCUCACACUUCGAGGAUCGCUUGCAAAGCUUGGAAAUUUACUGUCAAAUGAUUUUCAAGUUAAAGAAUCCGCAGGAUGCCUUAAUAAUUCAUCAUCGGUUCGUUGAUCAUGAUGUCACGUCAUAGAUUUGGCUGUCUUUGACGACAUGAAAAGCCUUUGAAGCAUUGGUAUUAGCGGAAAAUAUCAUAAAAUCUUAAUUGGCUUCUUUUUUGACUGUGCUGCACAUUCAUCCUCAUUCACAUCUUCUGUAUUUCUAUUCAUCCAACGAGAUUUACCGCAAACAUGAUAAGACUGUUGGUUUUUCCGAUCACCUCAAUACAACAUGCAGUCAUUUGGGCAACUAUAAAUUUUGUUGCACCCAGGCCUAAAUAUUUUAACAGUUUCUUCAUAUCUUUGCAUGAAUAAGGGAUUUUUACAAACGAAAACAUAUCUCUUAAAAACUCUAACAGUAUUGUCAAAGAAUUUUCGGUCUACCCUCCCAAACAUUUUAAGUGAAAAAGACGAAUAUAGGAUAUUUUUGAAAAUUUUGAUCCAUCAUAAAGUUCUUCAUUCAUUUCAUUAAGUAACGUGUAGGACUUUGCCGCUUCUCCAUUUGGCUCUUCAUCAAGUACACUUCUUUCUGUUUCGGUAAAAGUAUUUCCACCAAGAUUACAAUCAUCAAAUGCAAUAAAGUCAGGUGGAAAUAUUGCAAACCAUGACCGCGCAUGUUAAAUGCAUCCAAUCUUUCUAUCAUCCAAUCUUUUGGAAUUGAUAGAUCCUUUAAAUUUAAUAAUUUAGGUUGUAUUUCUGUAGUAAAUUUAUUAAGUUCGAAGAGCUCAAUAAUUUUGUUAUUUAUCUCUUUAAUUUCAACCUCUGUAGUAUUUGUAUAUUCAUUAAUAGAAGUCCAACUUAUUGCUAGAUCUUCUGCUAGAUCAUGAAUAUCAGAAUUUUUUGUCUGAAUUUUAAAGCAUAAACACUCUUCUAUUAGACAAUUUGUAAUGGAUAUAAAGUAAUUUGGUUUAACCUUAAAUCUUAUUACACUAGUAUGCAAAUUAGACUGAAUUCCUUCAAUAAGUGCUUUUAUUUGAUUUUCAAAUCUUAUCUAAAAGAACAGCUAUUAUAGGAAUAUCAUGAUCUUUCCUAAAUAGUGCUUUAAUAGUAAUCAUUAUUAUCCCUAGAUGGAUAUAUCGUACUUGAAUAUAUUUCUUUCUAUUCCUCUUAAUUUUAUCUUUAGUAAAUAAUGAGAUUUCUGCUAAUCCUCUUCUUGUAUCCUUAGCUACAGUAUUUCCACUUAUCUUCUCUAUAUGCCUCUGAGUCCAUAUUUUAAACUUAAAUAUUUUAUAUAUUUCUUCUUUAGAAAUAUGAUUUUUAUUAAUUUUUUCUAUUAUUUUAUUAGAGAGAUUUUUUUCUUCUCUAAUUAAAUUUCCUAAUUUUAUAUCUUGUUGUUCAGAGUUCGGAAUUUCUUCUAAACCAUAUAGAAAAAUGGGAAAUUAUUAAAAAUCCUAUAAAAGCAAUAGGAAUAGAUGAUAAUAAAACCAUAAUUCAAUAUAAAGCUAAAAAUAUUCCAAUCUACAUAAAUAAUGUAAGGUUUGUAAUUCCUAAAAUUUUAUUUUUCCUGAAAUGUAUGGAGAUAUAUUAUUAGGAGAUAAUUUUAUAUGUCAGUAUUUACCAUUUUCUAUUAAUAAAAAGUCAAUUAGUUUAUUUGUAGAAAUUUCUUAUAUAGAAAUACCAUUAGUUAAUAAUAAUAAAUUUGUGUGUAAUAAAACUUACACCAUUAAAAGAAUAAGUUAUGUACUUUUAUGUACUAAUAAAUUAUUGUUGAUUAUCUUAGCAGGCCUUAUGGAUAGAGGUAAAAAACCUUUAGAAACAGUUGGUGAAUGGAUUGUUAUUUAUAAAAAAACCCAACAAAGGGAAAGUAACAAAUUUUAAACAAGGAUUUGUACCUGUUCAAGUACUAUUUUAUCCUAACUAGUGAUACUAUGUGCUAUAUUCAAUGGUAAAAUCAACCAAUUGGAACUUCUUUAUCAUUGACUCCAAAUACGGUUAGUCAAUCACAAUGGUCCUAAAAUCUAAAUUCAGUGUUUCAAGCCAGUUAUGCUGAAAUGAUUAAGGGAACAGAAAAUUUAUUGAAACAAUAAUAAAUUCAAGAUUUUAAUUAUCUUUCUAAAAUAAAAGAUUUUUAUAAUCUUGGCUUAUCACCAGAAUUUUAUAAUCUUAUUAAUGAAGUAUGGAAAACCCAUAUUUCUGUACAAAAAUCACCAAUUUCAGGGGGUAGGUGCGAGGGUUUAUUGGAAGGCUUGUAUAUUAAAGUAGAGAAAUUUACAAAGGAAAAAACUAUUAGCAAAAGAGAAGAAAGCUAAGUAUUUCUCGAUGCUAUACAAUUGGUUUCCUUCUUCUAUUUAUAACUGAAUUUCAAAACUCUAUACAAUUGUUCUUUGAAUCUCACGCAGUGUUUCUGAUACAGAUCCUAUCUCUUUGUGGAUGUGGUUGCUUCCACGUUGCAUUUGUCGUAUUACUUCUUUGAUUGCAUGAACCUGAUUGCUUCCACUUUGCAUCGUUGAAUUAAUGGUUGUUUCCAUCAUCAUUGCUUACAUUAUUAGUUUGAUGAUAGUUUUGUUUGUAUCUGGAUGCCUUGUUUUUCAAGUUGCUUCUUCUUUCUUGGUGUUAGCCUUUUUUGGCUUUAUCCUUGUUGGAUGUUAACAAGAUUCAUUUCUUCGAUUUCAUCCAAAUUUAAUGAAUCAAAUGAAAGUCUUGGUGAAUUCUAAUUUUCCCA